ACCAAUGUUAAAAGCGGAGCCAUUAACAGCUCAACAAGGUGGGCUACUUGAAAUGGAUCAUAUUCAUAACAAAAAUGUCGGAAUCUUUCCGAAAUAUUAACACUUCAUGCCAUACUAGUACAGAGAGGUGACUAAAGGUAAGGAGACAUGAUUAUUAUAACAACUCGACUUCAAAUAACCUUUUUUGUUUCUUUUAUUUUUCUCAACAAAAAUUAUAACAAAAGUCCAAAACAGAAUGUAUACGUAUUUCAUUGUUUUCAUUGACAGCAAACAACAAAACAAUAAGACUCAGGGUAAAAACACCCAUAUGUUUGCUGACUGCAGAUAUUAUAUAAUGAUAAUUUGUAGAUGAUUUUUCAUCACAGUGUGGACCUUGUCAAAAUACAAAUUAUGAUAGUGUACAAUAAGCAGUACUCAAUUGGAACUCUGUCAUCUAAUAUCAUUACAUGAAACACAUACCGUUUAAUUAAAGUCACUUCUCGUGAAGGACCUCGCAUUUGCACAACUUACACAAA